rnacentral:lncRNA from 1 species
GUUAAAUUUAGCCACAAUUAUAAUUAGGGUAUCUAGUUUAAAAAAUGUGUGUGGUGACCAAGCCAACCAAUCAAGAUGGCUGCCAUGGCUAAAAAUAGAACACAGGAGUAAAAUGUAGAUUUUGGCUUAUAACUCUGCAACCAAAGCAUUUAGAGCAAAUCUGACAUGGGGUAGGUUUAUUAUAGACAGAGAAAAUUGUAAGUAGCAAGAAUGUAAAGUAAGAUCUACAAACACAUCACCAUCACCAAAACACAAUUUUGUCAUGAAUCUAUCUGUGUCCUUUGUUUAAUAUGCACUUAGACCAAGGUGAGCGACACAGGCUCUUUAGAGCCUCUAAUUAGAAUUUCUUGUGAAACAUAUCAAUAUACAAGUUGUUGUCUUUCAAAAUGGAAUUGACUGUUCGUCAAAAGAUUGUUAUUAUAAUUAGACAAGAAUUUAGGAGAUUACAACAUAUAAAAAUGAUGAGAUGGGUUAUGGUUUCAAAUUAGACAAUUAAACAUCAAAGACCAAAGGACAAAGAUGUGAACAAAAAUCAAAACAUUGGACUAUCAUAAAUUGAAAACACAUAUGCAAAAUAAAAAAACAAAAAAAAACAAAACCCAAUGUGGUGAGAUAUAAAGACAUCAUAUGAAGAAAUGAAAUAUCUGUAAUAUUAAACCUUGCUAUCACAGCUGAGGUUUCCUUAGUGAUUACCUCCCUUGGACCUUUGGAAAUUUAUAGAAAUUAAUUGGUAUGAUUUUGACUUUUCCAAAUCAAAUAGUUCAGAAAAGGAUAUGAUAUUGUGAAAUAAUUCUUUAGUACAUGUAUUUUAGCAAAACAUGACAUUUACAAAG